GACGAACGCUGGCGGCGUGCUUAACACAUGCAAGUCGAACGGAAAGGCCCUGCUUUUGUGGGGUGCUCGAGUGGCGAACGGGUGAGUAACACGUGAGUAACCUGCCCUUGACUUUGGGAUAACUUCAGGAAACUGGGGCUAAUACCGGAUAGGAGCUCCUGCUGCAUGGUGGGGGUUGGAAAGUUUCGGCGGUUGGGGAUGGACUCGCGGCUUAUCAGCUUGUUGGUGGGGUAGUGGCUUACCAAGGCUUUGACGGGUAGCCGGCCUGAGAGGGUGACCGGCCACAUUGGGACUGAGAUACGGCCCAGACUCCUACGGGAGGCAGCAGUGGGGAAUAUUGCACAAUGGGCGGAAGCCUGAUGCAGCAACGCCGCGUGCGGGAUGACGGCCUUCGGGUUGUAAACCGCUUUCGCCUGUGACGAAGCGUGAGUGACGGUAAUGGGUAAAGAAGCACCGGCUAACUACGUGCCAGCAGCCGCGGUGAUACGUAGGGUGCGAGCGUUGUCCGGAUUUAUUGGGCGUAAAGGGCUCGUAGGUGGUUGAUCGCGUCGGAAGUGUAAUCUUGGGGCUUAACCCUGAGCGUGCUUUCGAUACGGGUUGACUUGAGGAAGGUAGGGGAGAAUGGAAUUCCCGGUGGAGCGGUGGAAUGCGCAGAUAUCAGGAGGAACACCAGUGGCGAAGGCGGUUCUCUGGGCCUUUCCUGACGCUGAGGAGCGAAAGCGUGGGGAGCGAACAGGCUUAGAUACCCUGGUAGUCCACGCUGUAAACGGUGGGUACUAGGUGUGGGGUCCAUUCCACGGGUUCCGUGCCGUAGCUAACGCUUUAAGUACCCCGCCUGGGGAGUACGGCCGCAAGGCUAAAACUCAAAGGAAUUGACGGGGCCCCGCACAAGCGGCGGAGCAUGCGGAUUAAUUCGAUGCAACGCGUAGAACCUUACCUGGGUUUGACAUGGAUCGGGAGUGCUCAGAGAUGGGUGUGCCUCUUUUGGGGUCGGUUCACAGGUGGUGCAUGGCUGUCGUCAGCUCGUGUCGUGAGAUGUUGGGUUAAGUCCCGCAACGAGCGCAACCCUUGUUCACUGUUGCCAGCACGUUAUGGUGGGGACUCAGUGGAGACCGCCGGGGUCAACUCGGAGGAAGGUGGGGAUGACGUCAAGUCAUCAUGCCCCUUAUGUCCAGGGCUUCACGCAUGCUACAAUGGCUGGUACAGAGAGUGGCGAGCCUGUGAGGGUGAGCGAAUCUCGGAAAGCCGGUCUCAGUUCGGAUUGGGGUCUGCAACUCGACCUCAUGAAGUCGGAGUCGCUAGUAAUCGCAGAUCAGCAACACUGCGGUGAAUACGUUCCCGGG
rnacentral:rRNA from 1 species